rnacentral:misc_RNA from 1 species
UGUGCGUGCAGGUUUAAGUAUUGGAGUUUGAGGAUUGAUAGCAAAGGCGAUGGCUUGUGUGACAACUACUAGCCUCAUCUACUCCAUCUCUUGUGAUCGAAGACACGCUCCCACGCUCCUGCUCGUCGAUUCUUGUAUAAUGUCAAGAAAUACAACAGAAUCUUGCUUAAAACAUGCAAUAGACUCUCUUCGAUGGGUGGAUUGCGAGUUUAUUGCGAAUCCAAGGUAGAG